rnacentral:tRNA from 2 species
GGGCCCAUAGCUCAGCUUGGUUAGAGCGUUCGGCUGAUAACCGAAAGACCUUGCGGGUGUUCCCCGAAGGGGUCGAAGUCACGAGUUCAAAUCUCGUUGGGCCCACCA